GACGAACGCUGGCGGCGUGCCUAAUACAUGCAAGUAGAACGCUGAAGGAGGAGCUUGCUUCUCUGGAUGAGUUGCGAACGGGUGAGUAACGCGUAGGUAACCUGCCUGGUAGCGGGGGAUAACUAUUGGAAACGAUAGCUAAUACCGCAUAAUAGUAGAUGUUGCAUGACAUUUGCUUAAAAGGUGCAAUUGCAUCACUACCAGAUGGACCUGCGUUGUAUUAGCUAGUUGGUGAGGUAACGGCUCACCAAGGCAACGAUACAUAGCCGACCUGAGAGGGUGAUCGGCCACACUGGGACUGAGACACGGCCCAGACUCCUACGGGAGGCAGCAGUAGGGAAUCUUCGGCAAUGGACGGAAGUCUGACCGAGCAACGCCGCGUGAGUGAAGAAGGUUUUCGGAUCGUAAAGCUCUGUUGUAAGAGAAGAACGAGGGUGAGAGUGGAAAGUUCACACUGUGACGGUAGCUUACCAGAAAGGGACGGCUAACUACGUG
rnacentral:rRNA from 1 species